rnacentral:rRNA from 1 species
GAAUAUUGGACAAUGGGCGAAAGCCUGAUCCAGCAAUACCGCGUGAGUGAUGAAGGCCUUAGGGUUGUAAAGCUCUUUUACCCGGGAAGAUAAUGACUGUACCGGGAGAAUAAGCCCCGGCUAACUCCGUGCCAGCAGCCGCGGUAAUACGGAGGGGGCUAGCGUUGUUCGGAAUUACUGGGCGUAAAGCGCACGUAGGCGGCUUUGUAAGUUAGAGGUGAAAGCCCGGAGCUCAACUCCGGAAUUGCCUUUAAGACUGCAUCGCUAGAAUUGUGGAGAGGUGAGUGGAAUUCCGAGUGUAGAGGUGAAAUUCGUAGAUAUUCGGAAGAACACCAGUGGCGAAGGCGACUCACUGGACACAUAUUGACGCUGAGGUGCGAAAGCGUGGGGAGCAAACAGG